rnacentral:rRNA from 1 species
CGUUUAAUUGAUGGCUGGAAUGAAUGAAUAUACGAGAGCUCAACUGUCUCAUUUUUACAAAUAUAAAUUGACCCUCAAGUGAAGAGACUUGAAUUCUUAAAAAAGACGAAAAGACCCUAUAGAGCUUUACCUGAAAUUUAUAUCUCAUAUAAUAAAGGUUUAGUUGGGGCAACUAGAGAGCACCUAAAACCUCUCUUUAAAUUUACUAAUAGUGAUCCGUUUUUACGAUAAGUAGAAAAAGCUACCUUAGGGAUAACAGGCUAAUCCUCUUUAAGAGACCAUAUUGACAAGAGGGAUUGGCACCUCGAUG